rnacentral:rRNA from 1 species
UCCAGACUCCUACGGGAGGCAGCAGUGGGGAAUAUUGGGCAAUGGGCGCAAGCCUGACCCAGCAACGCCGCGUGAAGGAAGAAGGCUUUCGGGUUGUAAACUUCUUUUGACAGGGAAGAGCAGAAGACGGUACCUGUCGAAUAAGCCACGGCUAACUACGUGCCAGCAGCCGCGGUAAUACGUAGGUGGCAAGCGUUGUCCGGAUUUACUGGGUGUAAAGAGCGUGUAGCCGGGCUGACAAGUCAGAUGUGAAAUCCGGGGGCUCAACCCCCGAACUGCAUUUGAAACUGUUGGUCUUGAGUGUCGGAGAGGUAAUCGGAAUUCCUUGUGUAGCGGUGAAAUGCGUAGAUAUAAGGAAGAAUACCAGUGGCGAAGGCGGAUUACUGGACGAUAACUGACGGUGAGGCGCGAAAGCGUGGGGAGCAAACAGGAUUAGAUACCCCAGUAC